GCCGAGUGUUGAGUUCUUCAGCUUGUAAUUAUCAUCAAUAUAUGUAUGAGUUAAAAGCUAGUUAUCUCAAACGCAGAGGACAAGAACUUGAGGCAGUUACCGUUUGGAUUUAUCUGUAAAACUUAGCUGGCACUAGUUAUCUAUAUGUAACCACCUACCCGGAAACAGCUGGUUGUAUGUAAACGAUAUGUUUACAUGUCAUGUGGUUGGCAGCAAACAUUGAAGCCAAUGAGGGGAAAAAUAGCAAAUGUUAUGAAAGCAGAGAAAAGCAUCUAAAAUGAACAGUUAUGAACAACUAGAUGCUUCCCUUUAAGAUAUAUGAUUAUCUUACUGGAUGAAGGAACAUUCAGGGUAGAUUACACAAGUCAAGGUUGUGUAAGCAUGGCGAGACUUAUCAACAUCUAGUUCAAGGUUAGAAAAUAAAGGUAAAAGGCUAAUAGCUGCUAUGACAUGAACAAAAAAAUCAGACUCUAUCAUCUUUGACCUGUUUGGAGAUUAUCCAAGUGUUUAAUUUUGAGUUGUAACUAUUCUUUCCUAGACUUCUGAAAGUUGUUCACAUCAAUGUGAAAAGUUUUAAAUGACGAUGAGUGCAAUUAGGUCUUGAAUCAUGUUAGGAAACCAGGUAAAAAUAGGGUGGUCCGGACACCCCCCAUUUCACAGGCAGGAAAAAAAUCAAACAUCUGAAAAUGUCUCUGUAUUACUGUGUCAUCUAGUGCUGUGUGAUGUAGUUUCUCUAAGCAUGACAUUGUCGUGCCUUCCCAACCUAACAGCCAAUACUGUGUUAGUGAACACUGUCAGUUUACACCAGGUUUUGUAUGAUAUGAUUGCAGUGGUGACGUGUGGAAUGCCUCAGCUACUACUGGUUAAUUCUGUAGUUCUGUCAUUAAAUGUAAAUGAAAAUCACCUAACGUCAAUGUUUUUGUUAAGUUAGAAAUUGUUUAACUUGGAUGAGGAGGAACUAAGGACUUUAAGAGGGCUCUUCAACCUUUCAGUUCUCUAGGAAAGUGAGCUGAUGCUGACUUCCCACUUGCUUUACGAAGCUUUCCUGCGGGCCUUGGAGGGUCUGCAGCCGGGCUGUCGGGUGCCGUGAAUUGGAAGCACACAGCUUCCCACUCACCAAUUCGCAUGGGCAGCUGACUGGGUGGCUUCUGGAAGGUGCUCCAGAGGCGCGCGCCCGUGGCUCUGAGGCAGGCUGUUCUCCACUCCCACCGGGGAGAACCUUCCAAAGGAGCGAGCUGCAAACCGGUCCUCUGGCGGGUUCGUGGUUCUCCCAGCCCCAGCACCGUAUGUUAUUCCUACUUUAGUUUUGCCUUUAAGAGUCGUCUCUUCAAAAAUGACUGGGAAAGGCAUGCCUGCUAUUGAUCCUGAGGGAUGACAUAAAAGAUACAUGGAGUUUUUUAGAACUGUUUUAGGAGCAAAAGAUUAUCAGUUGUAUCUAACAGGAAAAACGGGGAAUUGUAGGGUCUUUUAUGUGACUAAUGUUCUGGGGUGAGCCAAGACUGAAAAGAGACUUUAAAAAAAAAUAAUUAUGUAUGUCAGAACAAAGAACAUACAGCCGAGUUUCUUUUUUGAGCAGAGGUGGUUUUAUGUGUGUACCUGGCAAACAGAUACAAAAACCUUAAUGAGGUAGCAAUGAAUAGUCAAUUCUUUCUUUUGACUGCCAAGUGUACCUGCCUAAGCCAUGUUUUAGCUAGUUUACUUAAUAAAUCUUCUGAACACUACUGUGCCUACUUGUAUUCCUUUAUAAACCAGACAUUAUCCUUGGAAUCAAAUACAUAAGGUAUUGACUGUUGAUAUUUAAUUAAAAACUGUUCUCUGCUUGCAGGCAUCAGGUAACUUCCUCUCCAGGUUAGUGAACCAUACAUUUUGGCUUUGAAAAGUGUUUUACAUUGAAAUAUGUUAACUAGUCACAUGUCAGUGUGGAAACAUGCAGUAAGUUAUCCUUGCAUCUAGAAAGUUGUAUUAUUUUCCUGAUUGCUGUGAACCAAUAUAUUUGAUAAGAAUAACUAAACUAUGUGGCCAUUUGAUACACUGGGCCUGUGGCCCCAAGUCCUGUAAACUUACGGUGUGCAUGUGUAUCUUUUAGGGGCAAGAGUCUAGUUUUAAUCAGCUGUUUAGGGGAUCCAUGGCUUAAAAAGGAUUGAGAGACCACCCUAUUUUUUAAAAGAAAGCUAUUAUCUCAAUUUAGAAGUAAAGACAAUACAUUUUAAAAGUGAUUUUAAAUUUAUCUACUUUUAGGGAUUUGUUUUUAUAUUAUCUUACUAUUAAUAAAAGCCACGUAUUUUCAAAUAGUCUGUCAAAAAAUUCAGAUUUACUUAAAUUUUGAACCUGACAGUACCCUCAAUUAAGCUGUUUUCUUUUCUCAAAAGUCACAAGUGGCCACAUAGUAUUCAACUAGUUUCGAUAUUGAAGAAUGUAGAUCUUGACAUUAAGGAAUGUAGAUAUUAAUUCUGAUUCCAAAACAGUGCUAAAACAUUGCUCAACUUGAGGGUCUAAAUGUCUAGCCCAAUCAUUUAAUACCAACGUAAAAAAUACACUUUCACUACUCUAAUUACUAAUAGGGAGCAGAGGCAAAUCCAUAAAUAAAACCAUAGUAAACCCAAAAGGUAAUGCUUUUAGGCAGUUUUCAAAAUAGCAGUUUUGUUUAGCACAAAUGGACUGUUGAGCUUGUUUGUGUGGCCAGAUUCUACCAGGCUGUAAUUCCAGAGAGAUGCAGCAGUCACCUUUUCAGAUGCCAUCAAAUGAAGAUAUUCUUUUUCCCGUGGUGGUUUUGCUUUCUUUAUUAUCUGUUAGCUAUUGAUAACAUAGCAUGGCAGCGACAUUACAUCAGGAAUUUAAUAUAAUACAACUGUUUUCAUUGAACCUUAUACCUCACUCUCCCCUGGGCAACUUGGGGUGUUCCCGUUGCACGAGUGCAACUGUGAUGCCCCUACUGCUCCUCCCACUAUAUAUAUAUA